UGGAGCCAGGAACUUCUCAUGGCCACGGCAUGACGUGGAUCAGACCAGUCCACGGAAGCCGCCAUGGCACCAGCAGGGGAGAGGCACAGGGACGGCCAGCACAGGGGUCUGAGUCCAACAGAGCUGUAUGCAAAUCAUGACCUCUCCAUCCCCUCACUGUUACUCCAUUGGGAACUAUGUCCCUCCCAGUCUCCAUCUGUGAAGUGAGGAUAAGGCAGCGACCUCCUGUGCAGGCAUUCAUGGAGACCGCGUGUGCCCAGUGUGGCUUUGUUAGCGGCGGCGCAUUCGCACGGGUCUGCAGCCACCUCAGUUCUUGUGCCUCCUCCGAAGAAAUAAUUUGACCAAGGAGGUGUAAGGUAGAAGGAGAGAACGAGGCAAGUUUCAGAGCAGGAGUGAAUCUUUACUAAAAGGCUUUACAGCAGGAACGAAACGAAGUAAAAUACACUUGGAAGGGUGCCAGGCAAUGCAAUUUGUGGACAAGCCCAUGAAACCCAAAGGUGAAAAAGGGAAACAGGUUUACACAGACAACCCUUCCUCCCACGUCUCCAGGCAUUCCUGCUGGAAUCUAAUCACCUUUGUCUUUAACCAGGCUCCCUGCCACAUCUUACCAGGCAAUCACAGGUGUCAGUUGGUGUCUCGCCACUCCCUGAGGGUGGAUAGAGUUGUCUAAUAUACCCAGACUCUUGAAUUGUCUAGAUUGCUACCCCUGUGGAUUUAAAAAGAAGGUGACUUUAUAAAAAUAUUCUUGACUUUUGUUGACAAUAAUGAGAAUUGACCAUAGAUUCCUAUUUUUCACAUGUGAUUCUGUUCUAGCAGCAAGGUUUGCUUUACUUUCCUGAGGAUACGCACGUGCACCCUGGAUCUCAUCCCCACAUGCAUGGUGGUGGGUCCCUUCCAUUUCUAUUUCCUAGCUCAUCACCUGUCUUCAUGCUUGGGACUACCUUUCUGUUGAAGGUGAGAAUGCACUCACAUACAAUCUGCAGAGCCGAAAGUGCGUUAAUCAUCACGGUAUGAAGAGUUGAGGCUACACCGGUGUUCGAUGCCAUUUCUCUUCUCUUGCACCUCAUUGUGUGGUUGCUUUUUACCCCUUGUCUAUGCAGUCGUCAUUGUUGUUUACCUGCAGGUAUAUACACUUGAGAAUUACUAGGAAUAUUUUUGAGAAGAUGACUAAUGAGGAUGAAGGGGAAUUUGUAUUAGCGGACCAAAGAAUAUGAGGUCUCACUGGCUAAAAUCAAGAUGGUGGCAGGACCAUGUUCCUUUCUGGAGGGUCUAAAAGAGACUCUGUUGCCCUGACUUUUCACCUUCUAGGACCCUUCCACAUUUCUUGCUGCAUGGCCACUUCUUCCACACAGCCGUCUCUCUGGUUCUCUGGCCAUUCUCCCACAACCUGGAGAGUUUCCACUUCCAAGAAUAUUUGGCACAAUGUAGACAACUUCUGAGCACUGGGGAAUAAGCCUACUCCUAUCAUGUGCCCUGGGGCAUGGAUCUUCUGCCCUGGCAAGUUUUAUAACAUUUUAAUCCUUUCCCUUCCUCAACUGUGUGAUGGUGACCACAAUGCAUCAGGAAAGUCCUUGUAAGAAAGACCCUUCACUAUCUGGCUUGAUGUCACCAAGAUGUGAAAGUAUAAAAACAACACAAUGUCAAGUUAUCGUUCUGGGAAGGAGUGAGAGCUGUGCUGGGCAGCUGGAGAGGAGGCAGGUCAACCUCUUGUUGACACCCUUCUGCCAAGCCAUUUCUGGAGACAAAUGGAGUUUCCCAGCAUGUGUGGCUCCUACAGGUCCCUGGAGGCCAGCUGGGCAGAAAACGUGGGAGAAGCCAUGGAGAACCCACUGCUGGGCUGGCUGUCUGCCAACAUUCACUGCAGAACCAACAUGAUGUUUUCUGCCUAAUUAGCAGUGAUACAAAGAGUGACUGAGAGAAAUGUGGGGGUCUCAGUGUCUGAGAAGGGGUCCCCCACUUGAAUUGGACAGACCCCACUUUCCUCCUUAAAUUCAUGUGCUUAUGUGUCCACCCCAGGUGUCCUCUUUGCCUCUAAACAAUUAACUCCAAUAAACUAAGUCAUAAAACCC